CCCUAGCCCCGAUAGAAGUGGAAAUCCUUUUGUGCCGGUGUUCGGCACAAAAGAUUGGAACGGAUAGCGGGAAAUAGC
rnacentral:sRNA from 1 species